ACACAUGCAGUCGAGCGGGGAAGGUUACUUCGGUAACUGACCUAGCGGCGGACGGGUGAGUAAUGCUUAGGAAUCUGCCAUUUAGUGGGGGACAACAUUCCGAAAGGAAUGCUAAUACCGCAUACGUCCUACGGGAGAAAGCAGGGGAUCUUCGGACCUUGCGCUAAAUGAUGAGCCUAAGUCGGAUUAGCUAGUUGGUGGGGUAAAGGCCUACCAAGGCGACGAUCUGUAGCGGGUCUGAGAGGAUGAUCCGCCACACUGGGACUGAGACACGGCCCAGACUCCUACGGGAGGCAGCAGUGGGGAAUAUUGGACAAUGGGCGCAAGCCUGAUCCAGCCAUGCCGCGUGUGUGAAGAAGGCCUUUUGGUUGUAAAGCACUUUAAGCGAGGAGGAGGCUCUCUUAGUUAAUACCUAAGAUGAGUGGACGUUACUCGCAGAAUAAGCACCGGCUAACUCUGUGCCAGCAGCCGCGGUAAUACGGAGGGUGCGAGCGUUAAUCGGAUUUACUGGGCGUAAGGCGUGCGUAGGCGGCUUUUUAAGUCGGAUGUGAAAUCCCCGAGCUUAACUUGGGAAUUGCAUUCGAUACUGGGAAGCUAGAGUAUGGGAGAGGAUGGUAGAAUUCCAGGUGUAGCGGUGAAAUGCGUAGAGAUCUGGAGGAAUACCGAUGGCGAAAGCAGCCAUCUGGCCUAAUACUGACGCUGAG
rnacentral:rRNA from 1 species